GACGAAGGUGGCUGGCGUUGCUCGGAAUUACUGGGCAUAAAGCGCGCGUAGGUGGUCGUGUAAGCGGGAGAUGAAAGCCCAUGGCUCACCCAUGGAACUGUCCCCCGGACUGCACGGCUCGAGGAAGGAAGGGGAGAAUGGAAUUCCCGGUGUAGCGGUGAAAUGCGUAGAUAUCGGGAGGAACGCCGGUGGCGAAAGCGAUUCUCUGGUCCUCUCCUGACACUGAUGCGCGAGAGCUAGGGGAGCAAACAGG
rnacentral:rRNA from 1 species